UAUAGGUAUAUACUCAGGAGUGGAAUUUCUGGGUCAUGGUUGUAUGUUUAGUUUUAGGAAGAACUGCCAAGUAAUUUUCCAAAGUGAUUGUGCCAAUUGACACUCCCACCAACAAUAAUCAGAGUUCCAUUUGUUCCACAUUCUCACCAACACUUGGUAUUCUUUGAUUAGAUGUAAAGGUUAUUAUUCAUUUAUUCAAUCCUUCAUUCAGUGUAAUAAAAAAAUUCAUUAAGCCCUUAUAGAAUAGCAGGUAUUAUAGUAUAGUACGAUACUAUAUAGUGUAGUAUAGUGUAGCACCAAUAGUAUAGCAGUAUGUGCUAUGGACAAGACAUUGUUCCUGCUGUCAAGGACCUCAUACUCAAGUUAGGGGCCCACAGACUGGUACAACACAUAUCAUGCAUAUACUUAAUAUAGAGUUCUAAGUGCUUUUAGGUACUUCUGCCCCAAUUCUAAUUUGGCACUAUACUGCAGGGAGGAGCAUCUACCCUUCUGUCCAUCCCACUAAGUGGCUCCUCUGCAAAGGAGAAGCUGUGGAUCUGACUGGCCAAAGCAUUGACUGGACAGCAUCACUGGUGCAAUUCCUGGGCUUUCAGUGGCAUGCAGCCCUUCUCUGCCCUCUCUCCUCUACUGUCCAUCUUAUAUAUGGAAGGUGCAGCAACAGCUUGGAGAAAAUCAGAGAAAGUCUAGUGACGAGAAUUCUUCUACAUCCUCAGAGCAAUUUUUGGAUACUUGCCAACAGCUAAUGGUCCUGCUGUACUGUUAACACAUGAGGACAGAGGAGCUUUGUCAUAUCAUCAUCAAGACUGGCUUUGUGGAGAGAGUCAUUAAUCAAAGGCAAGUAGGGCACUUUGCAAAUAUCCAGGUCUGGAGAAGAUGACCACCUCAACUGAAGCCUCUUGUACCUGGGAGAAUCUGAACACGACUCAGCCUUCCCUGAAAGUGACUGGGCGUCAGCAAUGGCAUUGCUUGAAGGACUUUCUUAUGGUUCAUGCUUGAUCUUUUUGUUUGCCUGCUCUGUUGGAGGUGAACUUGUCCUACACUUGUAUGUCCAAUUGCACACCUGACCUUUGGGCUGGAGGGCCUCUUGUCACUCCCAGCUCUGUGGACAGACCAUACUCUUGCCUUACCAGUACCAUCUUCACGUGCUACUGGAAGGAAGUUUAACAAAUACAGGGAAGAAUUCAUAGAUGUGAUGGAUUUUUAAAUGA
rnacentral:lncRNA from 1 species